GACAGAGGGUGCAAACGUUGCUCGGAAUCACUGGGCGUAAAGGGCGUGUAGGCGGGAAGGAAAGUCAGAUGUGAAAUCCCCAGGCUCAACCUGGGAACUGCAUUUGAAACUGGCGGGCUUGAGUAUGGCAGAGGGGGGUGGAAUUCCGCGUGUAGCAGUGAAAUGCGUAGAGAUGCGGAGGAACACCGAUGGCGAAGGCAGCCCCCUGGGCCAAUACUGACGCUCAGGCACGAAAGCGUGGGGAGCAAACAGG
rnacentral:rRNA from 1 species